UACGGAGGGUGCGAGCGUUGUCCGGAAUCAUUGGGCGUAAAGGGCGCGUAGGUGGCGGCUUAAGCGUGCGGUGAAAGCUCGGGGCUCAACCCCGAGUCGGCCGUGCGAACUGAGUCGCUUGAGCACUGUAGAGGCAGGCGGAAUUCCGGGCGUAGCGGUGGAAUGCGUAGAGAUCCGGAAGAACACCGGUGGCGAAGGCGGCCUGCUGGGCAGUAGCUGACACUGAGGCGCGACAGCGUGGGGAGCAAACAGG
rnacentral:rRNA from 1 species